rnacentral:misc_RNA from 1 species
GCUCGUGCUGCUGGCUGCUGCAGAUCAUCGUCAGGCAGCAGCCAUCAUGCUCACGGUCUCAUGGAUGCGUGCGGCCGGCGGGCAGCACGGGGCGCCGGCCAGCAACAUGGAUCCGGCCGGCCCCCCAUGGCCAUGCCCCAUGCAUGCAUGUGCAUACAGUUCAGCUCACACAGUGGUCAUCUAUCACGCGCCACCGCGCACCGGCCGGCCGGCCAGCAGCGUCGCAGGCGGUGGCAGAAGGCGAGCGGAGGACGACGACAAGCGCAAGCCGCCGCGGCGUACGUAUAGUAGGCUAGUAGCUAGGGUGCCGGUGCCGGCCAGCCCGAGAGAUCACCCACUCCGCGUGGACGCAUGCAGUUAAUCGGCAUGCAGCAGCGGUGGUUCUGCAGCUAGCAUCGUCUCUGCGUUUUUUUUGCUUUGCGUGGCUUGUUGGGUAGCGCCCACGCCGAAUCUUCUCCGUCCCAGCUCAACCUCGGCAUGCAGGUCGCGGUCGCCGUCGCCGUCCAGUCCACCACAGCUAAGCUAACCCUCGUCGUGCACUGCGCGCACGCAAGUGCGUACGUACACACGUGGCCUGUGUAUGCGAUAUAUUCUCUGUUGUUGUUCUAUAUAUGCUAUGGUAUAGCUUUGGUAUAUGUAUGGGAUCGGAUCUGAGGGUUUCAUUUUGAAUUCAAAUCCGAGAGAUCUAGAGAGAGGACUAGAAUUUGUAAAACAGUCUCCCAUUUGAGACACCCCAUAUGCAUAUGGUUGUUUUCGUGGUGUGUCAACAAAUAUCUUUGAACAGAGAAAAAAGCGAUUCUUGG